rnacentral:rRNA from 1 species
GCAACGAGCGCAACCCUUGUCUUUAGUUACCAUCAUUCAGUUGGGGACUCUAGAGAGACUGCCGGUGAUAAACCGGAGGAAGGUGGGGAUGACGUCAAAUCAUCAUGCCCCUUAUGGCCUGGGCUACAAACGUAAUACAAUGGCGUAUACAAAGGGAUGCGAAAGGGCGACCUGGAGCAAAACUCACAAAGUACGUCUCAGUUCAGAUCGGAGUCUGCAACUCGACUCCAUGAAGGCGGAAUCGCUAGUAAUCGCGGAUCAGCAUGCCGCGGUGAAUACGUUCUCGGGGUUU